rnacentral:rRNA from 1 species
UACGUAGGAGGCAAGCGUUAUCCGGAAUGACUGGGCGUAAAGGGUGCGUAGGUGGUUUGACAAGUUAGUAGCGCAACUCCGGAGCUCAACUUCGGAACUACUACUAAAACUGUACGACUUGAGUGCAGUAGAGGUUAGUGGAAUUCCUAGUGUAGCGGUGGAAUGCGUAGAUAUUAGGAGGAACACCAGAGGCGAAGGCGGCUAACUGGACUGUAACUGACGCUGAGGCACGAAAGUGUGGGGAGCAAACAGG